GUGUGUAGGGCCCACAGACAUUGCCCUCGUACCUCUCAGAAGGGAGCAGCCUGCUGCCACCACCCAUCAUCUGUUGUGUGAGCUACCAGCUCCUGGGAGGUCUCUGCACUCUGCUGGGGCUUUCUGAUUUCAGGACCCACUCUGGUAUGCUGAGAUCCCCCACUUCACCGUGAAAUCCUCCUGAAGACAAGCUUAUCACCUUGACAAGCAAAUUCAUCACUAAGAUGCCCUUUCUUUUAAGAAGUAUGAAGAUCUGACUCUCCUGAAGCAAAAGAAAAAUGAUUUUAUCCUCUCGGGAUUUUGUUCAGUUAAAGCAUACACAGAAGAAUGUUUAUGGUGCAUGAAGUGGCAGGGGCAGGUGGCAUGAAUAUAUUGUUCCUCUAACAGUCGUCUUUAGAGCUGGCCAGAUGAGGAGGAAUGGGAUGAGUUACUCUUUAGAGAUGUUGUUGGUCUUCAUUUGGAGUUGAAGUUCUUGGAUAUAAAGUUAAAGACGUGGAUAUAAAAAGCACAGAGGGAUCCAUGACCAAACCCAGCAAUAGGAGAGAAGCUGAUGAGCUCAUGAUAAUGGAGUUAGACCAUUGAAACUGUUUCCUUGGCAUCUGUAGUGACUGCAGCAAGACCAAUAUAUUUCCAUGCCUUCUGAAAACUGGCCUAAGUAAACUUCUCCA